CCUGGCCCUUGAGGCAUUGAGGGUGUGGCUGCUAGGUCACAGGUUUGUUAAUAGGUAACAGAGUGGAGAGAUAGUAUGACUAUGCUCAGUGUUCUGACCUAGGACCAUCUGAAUGAUCAAUAGCCUAACAUU